rnacentral:rRNA from 1 species
AGUGAACGCUGGCGGUAGGCCUAACACAUGCAAGUCGAACGGCAGCACAGGAGAGCUUGCUCUCUGGGUGGCGAGUGGCGGACGGGUGAGGAAUACAUCGGAAUCUACUCUGUCGUGGGGGAUAACGUAGGGAAACUAACGCUAAUACCGCAUACGACCUACGGGUGAAAGCAGGGGAUCUUCGGACCUUGCGCGAUUGAAUGAGCCGAUGUCGGAUUAGCUAGUUGGCGGGGUAAAGGCCCACCAAGGGGACGAUCCGUAGCUGGUCUGAGAGGAUGAUCAGCCACACUGGAACUGAGACACGGUCCAGACUCCUACGGGAGGCAGCAGUGGGGAAUAUUGGACAAUGGGCGCAAGCCUGAUCCAGCCAUACCGCGUGGGUGAAGAAGGCCUUCGGGUUGUAAAGCCCUUUUGUUGGGAAAGAAAUCCAGCUGGCUAAUACCCGGAUGGGAUGACGGUACCCAAAGAAUAAGCACCGGCUAACUUCGUGCCAGCCGCCGCCGUAA